rnacentral:rRNA from 1 species
UGGGGAAUCUUGGACAAUGGGGGCAACCCUGAUCCAGCCAUGCCGCGUGAGUGAUGAAGGCCUUAGGGUCGUAAAGCUCUUUCGCCUGUGAAGAUAAUGACGGUAGCAGGUAAAGAAACCCCGGCUAACUCCGUGCCAGCAGCCGCGGUAAUACGGAGGGGGUUAGCGUUGUUCGGAAUUACUGGGCGUAAAGCGCACGUAGGCGGACCAGAAAGUUGGGGGUGAAAUCCCGGGGGCUCAACCCCGGAACUGCCUCCAAAACUAUUGGUCUAGAGUUCGAGAGAGGUGAGUGGGAAUUCCAAGUGUAGAGGUGAAAUUCGUAGAUAUUUGGAGGAACACCAGUGGCGAAGGCGGCUCACUGGCUCGAUACUGACGCUGAGGUGCGAAAGUGUGGGGAGCAAACAGGAUUAGAUACCC